rnacentral:rRNA from 1 species
CCUACGGGCGGCAGCAGUGAGGAAUAUUGGUCAAUGGACGUAAGUCUGAACCAGCCAAGUCGCGUGCAGGAAGACGGCUCUAUGGGUUGUAAACUUCUUUUGUAUGAGAGUAAAGCUGACUACGUGUAUUCAUUUGCAUGUACUCUAUGAAUAAGCAUCGGCUAACUCCGUGCCAGCAGCCGCGGUAAUACGGAGGAUCCAAGCGUUAUCCGGAUUUAUUGGGUUUAAAGGGUGCGUAGGUGGUUUGUUAAGUUAGAGGUGAAAGGUUGUAGCUCAACCCUAAAAUUGCCGCUGAUACUGGAAGACUUGAGUGUAGUUGAGGUAGGCGGAAUGCGUGGUGUAGCGGUGAAAUGCAUAGAGAUCACGCAGAACACCGAUUGCGAAGGCAGCUUACUAAGCUAUAACUGACGUUGAGGCACGAAAGCGUGGGGAUCAAACAGGAUUAGAUACCCGAGUAGUC